GGGGUUGUGGCUCAGUGGUAGUGUGCUUGCCUGGCAUGCAUGAGGCACUGAGUUUGAUUCUCAGCACCA
rnacentral:tRNA from 1 species